rnacentral:lncRNA from 1 species
ACUUCCCUUUUUAAAUCAGACAACUCAUCAAUUUUGUCUCUUUCCUGGCUGCUGAGAGAAUUUGCUCUCUUGCUGCCUCUGAACCUCAUGGGUCAGAGCCUAUAGCUGGGGUUUCCUAGGUCAAUGGGCUUUGGCAACCUGGUUACCAUCAUUCAGAAUAUGUGGGGCUCAAAACCAGGAGCACAAGGUAAAAGAGAUGGUGAAGUGGAAAGUGCUAGGUUUUUGCUUGAAGCUUAGGGCACCUUACUGAAUUUCUCUGGGCAAACCUUUGUGAUCGUAGUUGGUGUCACUAGGGAAAAAGCUGGUGUUCAGUAAAUACCCGUAUGUGGCCUGUAGAUUUCACGUUUGAGCGAAGCGUGCCCUCACUUAGUUGGGCUUUGUCUUUUGAUGUGGAAAAGUAGGGUUUCCCCUUCUUCACUCGCUCGUUUAUAUUUUGGUUCUGUUGAGUACAGGAAUAUUACAAAGAUUUGAUGAGAGAUGAGCCCUCCUUCCUACCUAGACGUCCAGUGUUAAAGGAAAAUAAUCAGAGGUCUACCCCUUUCCUUACAAGGGGAAAUAGAGAUAAGGUGAGGAGGGGAAAUGAGACAUUUGCAGCUGCCCUUUUGAAAGUGAAAACAAACAAAAGUGAAAUAAUGCCAUAAAC